UGGGGAAUUUUGGACAAUGGGCGAAAGCCUGAUCCAGCAAUGCCGCGUGUGUGAAGAAGGCCUUCGGGUUGUAAAGCACUUUUGUCCGGAAAGAAAUCCUUGGCUCUAAUACAGUCGGGGGAUGACGGUACCGGAAGAAUAAGCACCGGCUAACUACGUGCCAGCAGCCGCGGUAAUACGUAGGGUGCAAGCGUUAAUCGGAAUUACUGGGCGUAAAGCGUGCGCAGGCGGUUUGCUAAGACCGAUGUGAAAUCCCCGGGCUCAACCUGGGAACUGCAUUGGUGACUGGCAGGCUAGAGUAUGGCAGAGGGGGGUAGAAUUCCACGUGUAGCAGUGAAAUGCGUAGAGAUGUGGAGGAAUACCGAUGGCGAAGGCAGCCCCCUGGGCCAAUACUGACGCUCAUGCACGAAAGCGUGGGGAGCAAACAGGAUUAGAUACCCUGGUAGUUCACGCCCUAAAACGAUGUCAACUAGUUGUUGGGGAUUCAUUUCCUUAGUAACGUAGCUAACGCGUGAAGUUGACCGCCUGGGGGAGUACGGUCGCAAGAUUAAAACUCAAAUGAAUUGACGGGGUCAUAGCUGUUUCCU
rnacentral:rRNA from 1 species